CAUUACCAUUUGGAAAGACAGUAGCUGAGAUAACAAAUCACACAGUUUUAAUAAUUACUCCUGCAUUCCAGUUUUUUGUUUCCUGCAUAACUGCAAAGGCUGGAUUUCUUCCAAAUAAACAGAUAAAAACAGUAUGGAACUUUUAUCUUUUAAUGAUAAUGACAACACAUCAUGUUUCACUAAAAGUUUCCUGCUGGAUUUCCCCCCCCCCCUCCCCUCCCCACCCUGAUUUUCAGAGUUUCAAUAAAACGUAAUUAUACUUUAUAAUUCCGCUCUUUUAAUCUUCACUUCAAAAACUAUUCACAGUGAGCAAGUUUUGCCAGGCACAGGGAGGCAGAGCGGCCCUUCCCCACAUCGGGCUGCUCACAAAUUCUGUCUUGGGGUAAACCUGUCACCAAACGGCGCAACCCAAGCUGCUUUGCAUUCCGAUUAAUAGCCCGCCUCAUUUGAAUACAAAAUAGCCCCGUUUAUGUGGUUAUUAAAAAAAAAAAAAAAAAAAAAAGUAACAAAACCAUUUGGCAGCGAAAGGAUGUUUGAGCCAGGAUGCGUCUUUUCUGUCCUUAUUUCUUUUUCUUCUUCUUUUUUAAAUCCUGAAUGGAAUAUACUUUGGUGUCAGGACGCUUUCGUAUCGAUGGCGAGGCACUCAAAGCAGUGCCUAUAAGAACCAAAUGGGGAAUGCGUGCUCUGGGAGUCAGAAAGUUCUCGUUACCCCAAAACCUAAUCAGAUUUCAGGGGUUUUAGUAAGAGCAGAGAAGAGGAGGAGGGGAGGAAUGCGGCAAUUGCACCUUCCUCUCCCAACCCAAAAUAUCCAGACUUGAAGACCAUUCCUUGGAAAUUCAGACUGAGGCCACACAACAGCAGAGCCCAGCUGAUGCCAUCAACACAACUAGGAAUCUCUUAGCACUCACCUGCAAGCAAAUCUCCAUGUAAGUGAUGAGACUGGAGCCAAUACACGAACAAGAAGGAUCUGGGGACUCCCAAGCUCCCUUCCAAAGCCAGCAGAGUUGUAUGAGCUGCUACCUUAGCAUCUCCUUGGAGCUGGGCCAGCACAUCAAGGGUGAAGAGGAGUUGAAUCCUGCCUUUAGCUCUGGCCCUGGUUUUCCACGUGGGGUUCCUCUUCCAAUGAAUGCAGCCACACACCACUCCAGAUGUUCAAAGAGGGACCAGCCUCCCACAGACCCUAUGGGAAUGAUGAACAAAAGGACAGUGAGCAACGACGUGUCUUCAAAUCUUCAGUUCACAAGCCACCAUGAGCUGUUUGCCCUGUACGUUAUAGGAAGCAAAGCAUAAUCUCAGCUGGGUCACAGGUGAACAAGUAGGUGCUGUUGCCCUCAGGCAGCUUGACGGGAUACCAUCACCUACUGGACACAGCGUGUUAAAGAUGAACCUCCUUUAAAAUAGCUAAUGACCUUCAGCCUGCUAACUCCAUGUGUGCCCAGCUGCUUGUUAGAGGUCAAGAAAUGCCUGGUUAAAAGCUCCUGCCCCAACUCCCACCCAGCAUGGCCAAGUCUCCUGAGACUUGCUUGGCAGCCCAACCACAUAUGGAGCUGAAUCACAGUACACAUUCCUCCACUGGGGUCCUCUCAAUGUUAGGAGACGACAUGGCCUGCCCCAAUGGACAUGGGAAUAGUUUUUCCAGAAAACAUAUUGACAUAUAGGAAGAAAGUUCUCUGCAUCAGCCAAUGCAGAGCCCUCAAACAGGGGUAGGAUGCAUCCAAACUUGUAUUAUUAUUAUUUAAUAAACAAGUUAUUGUGCCUUUUUCUUGAAUCCACAAUAGGAAAAAGGUAGAUGUGGCACCGAGGGAUAUGGUUAGUGGACGUGGUGGGGAUAGGUUGAUGGCUGGGCUAGAUGGAAAAGAUCUUAGCGGUCUUUUCCAAACUUAAUGAUUUUAUGAUUCUAUGAAGGAAUAAAUCAAACGGCUUUUUGCAUCCAUCAUCUCUUUAGACAGGACUUGCACAGUGCUCUCAGCUGCUGAAAAGCCUCACUAACCUAAUCUAAGUGAAAAUUUAACAAUCAAA
rnacentral:lncRNA from 1 species